GUACAGUAGUGAGUAUCCCCGCCUGUCACGCGGGAGACCGGGGUUCGAUUCCCUG
rnacentral:tRNA from 1 species